rnacentral:lncRNA from 1 species
GGCACCUGGAUCUGCACACAAGGUGCAGAGAGUAACAUGAGUAUGCAACUCAGUAAGUAACUAAAGUAAAUAAACUCUGAGUGCAGUGAUGAGCAAUUAAAAUCAUAUGCAUACUUUAUUAAGAAUUUCAACAGGAAUAUCAAAGUCAAAAUCUAUAGUUCAAUAACCAAAUACCUCGUACAAAUUCCAGUUUCAAUAGAAAUCCUUUAAAACAUUUAAUCAGCAUUUUUCAAUAAAGGCUCAGUAUAAAAGGAGAGUGAAAACAGGAAAUCUCAUAAACAAACCCUUCGGGCAAGGUAUCACUCAUAAGUAUAGCCUCUCAGUCACUCGUGACUCAGCUCUCAUCAUUCAGUACUCACACUCAGCACGCCAGCUUAAUAGCUAUCUCAUAAUAAUUAUCAUUGUGUCGUGCAGCCCGAUCCAUAAUAUAUAGCCGACUACGCUCACUAGGGGUGUACAGACUCCGGAGGGGCUCCUACAACCCAAGCAUUACUACGACGCAUAGCCUGAUCCAAUAUAUAUCUUGUUGCGACGUGCAGCCCGAUCCAUAUAUAUAUAAAUAUAACUACGGCGUGCAGCCGGAUCCAUAACAUAUAUAUAAUCCUCAUCAUUAGGUCCUCGACCUCUCUCUCAGUCAUUAAGCUCACAGUCACUCGGGCAUUUUAGUAAAAAUCAGGGAACUCAGUCCAAACAGUUUUCAUAUAUUAGGAAGUUGGGUAAUGAACCCGAAUUAAACAAUAAAUAGGUAAACAUGACUGAGGAUAUGCUUUCAAAUAAAAAUAGUGUGAGGAAAGUAGUAAAAUACCCAUAAGGGUCUAAACAGGUCGGCACAAAGGCCCCAAACAUGGCAUUCGACCCAAGUUAACAAAUCUAUUUCUAAAACACAUGGAUAUCAUAAACAAUAUAUCACAAUAUGCAACUAUACAGUCGCCACGGGACGGACCAAGUCACAAUCUGUAACGACCCAGCUGGUCAUUUCAUGAGUUACUGCACUGUUUCCCCUAUUUCUAAUUCUUAUUGUCUUGUCCAAUUGUAUUAUGUGAUAUCGUGCUGGUUGGUUUGGGUUCAGAGAGAUUUUUGGAAAGGAAUGAGACAUUUAGUCUCUUUUGAGUAAGCUUAGGUUAAAAAAGUUAACCGAAUGUUGACUUAUGUGAAAAAGGGCUCAGAUGUGAAUUCUGAUGGUUCGGAUAGCUUUGGGAGGUUUAUUUGGGACUUAGAAGCGUGAUCAGAAUGUGUUUUGGAGAUCCGAAGUAGAUUUAGGCUUGAAUUGACGAAAUUGGAAUAUUGGCGUUUUCCGGUUGAUAGGUGAGAUUUUGAUAUAGGGGUCAGAUUGGAAUUCUAAAAGGUGAAGUAGGUUCGUUGUGUCAUUUAUGAUGUGUGUACAAAAUUUCAGGUCAUUCGGACGAGGUUUGAUAGACUUUUUGAUUGAAAGCGAAAUUUGGAUGUUUUUGGAAUUCUUAGGCUUGAAUCCGAUGGUAUUUUGGUGUUUUAGUGUUUUUUUGAGUGAUUCGAAGGCUCGACUAAGUUUGAAUAAUGCUAUGAGAUAUGUUGGCAUGUUUGGGUUGAGGUCCCGAGGUCCUCGGGUGAGUUUUGUAUGGUUAAACAGAUCAAAAUCAUGUUUGGAAGUUGUAGAAAAAUCUGUUGUUGGUGUUACAGACAUUUAGCCUUCACGUUCGCGAGAGGGCUCUCGCAUUUGCGAAGGGAUGUGAUGCGAGGCAGGAAGUUUGUCCUUCGCGUUCGUGAUGUUGGUCCCGCAUUCACGAAGGAUUAGGUUCUGUGUUCAUCACGAACGCGAUAAGUAUUCCGCGUUCACGUAGAGUAGAUGGGAGCAGCUGGGUCCAGGUUCAUUUGUGCUUCGCGUUCGCGAGCUAGAGGUAGAGUUCGCGAUGGGAUGAGGAGCUAAAGCUUCGCGUUCACAUUCAGGAUGUCGCGUUCGCGAUGAAUGAUGUUAAAUGGAUUUUGUGCUUUGCGAACGCGAGGCAUUGAUUGCGUUCGCGAAGAAGGAAAAGGUUACCUGGGCAUAAUGUUUAAAUAGCCUUUGUCCGCAAGUUUGGGUCUAACUUUCACCUUUUUGAGCGAUUUUGGAGCUUUUUGAGAAGAAUUGAAGAGGGAAUCAAGGGGAAACAUUUGGAGAUUUGGAGCAUCCGGAGGCCGAGUCGAGACAAGUGUCAGAGGAUUCUAGUCAUUUCGAUGCUAGAGGUUCCCUUUAGUCCCCGUCUCCAGCACCAUGGAGUUCUUAUAGUGUGGAGAGUUGGGUCACAUGUGGAGGUAGUGUCCUCGUCGUCUUGGGGUUCAUCUCAACAGAGGAGUCAGCCAUCAGCUUCAGCGCCAGUUACUUCACCACCACCCACCCAUCCAGCUAGGGGUAAAUGUCAGUCAGCUAGGGGUCACCCUAGAGGGGGAGGUCGAUCAGGUGGUGCUCAGGCCCGUUUCUAUGCACUCCCAGCUAGACCUGAUGCUAUUGCUUCAGAUGUGGUGAUUACAUGUAUUGUCUCAGUUUGCCACAGAGAUGCUUCUGUGUUAUUUGAUCCUAGUUCCACUUGUUCAUAUGUGUCAUCAUAUUUUGCUCGUUAUUUGGAUACGCCCCGUGAGUCUCUUGUUUCAUCUGUUCGUGUAUCUACUCUAGUGGGCGAUACUAUUGUUGUGGACCGUGUGUACCAAUCGUGUGUGGUGACUAUUGUGGGUCUGAAGACCCGAGUGGACCUGUUAUUGCUUUGUGUGGUGGACUUUGAUGUGAUAUUGGGCAUGGAUUGACUAUCUCCGUGUCAUGCUAUAUUAGACUAUCAUGCUAAGACAGUGACAUUGGCUAUGUCGGGUGUGCCACAGAUUGAGUGGCGAGGUUUGACUGAUUUUGUCCCCAGUAGGGUGAUUUCAUUCUUUAAAGCCCAGCGGAUGGUUGGGAAAGGUUGUCUUUCAUACUUAACCUUUUGAGAGAUGUCAGUGAAGAGACUCCUAGUAUUGAUUUUGUUCCUGUUGUGAGGGAUUUUCCCGAUAUUUUUCCUACAGACCUGUCAGGCAUGCCACCGGAUAGGGAUAUUGAUUUUUGUAUUGAUCUAGUGCCAGGCACUUAGCCCAUUUCUAUUCCACCGUAUCGUAUGGCACCAGCGGAGUUGAAGGAGUUGAAGGAGAAACUUAGGAACUCCUUGAUAAGGGGUUCAUUCGGCCUAGUGUGUCGCCUUGGGGUGCGCUUGUUCUAUUUAUGAAGAAGAAGGAUGGCACGAUGAGGAUGUGCAUUGAUUACAGGCUGUUGAACAAAGUAACAAUCAAGAACAAGUAUCCUUUGCCUCGUAUCAAUGAUUUAUUUGACCAGCUUCAGGGAGUGAGAGUGUUCUCCAAGAUUGAUCUUCAUUCAGGUUAUUACCAAUUGAAGAUCAGGGACUCGGAUAUUCAUAAGACAGGCUUUAGGACCAGAUAUGGUCAUUAUAAGUUCCUUGUUAUAUCUUUUGGGUUGACCAAUGCCACGGUAGUAUUCAUGCAUUUGAUGAACAACGUGUUUCGUCCUUAUCUUGACGCAUUCAUGAUUGUUUUCAUUGAUGAUAUUCUGGUGUACUCGAGUAGUCAGGAGGAGCACACGGAGCAUUUGAGAGUUGUGUUGCAGAAGUUGAGGGAGGAGAAUCUUUGUGCAACGUUCUCCAAAUGUGAGUUUUGACUUAGUUUAGUGACUUUCUUGGGGCAUAUGGUGUCCAGUGAGUGUAUUCAGGUUGAUCCGAAAAAGAUUAAGGCAGUUCAGAGUUGGCCUAGACCGUCCUAAGCCAUGGAGAUUCGUAACUUUCUUGGUUUGGUGGGUUAUUAUCGUCAGCUUGUGCAGGGAUUUUUAUCUAUAGAAUCACCCUUGGCCAAGUUGACUCAAAAGGGUGCUCCUUUCAUGUGGUCAGAUGAGUGUGAGGCGAGCUUUCAAAAGCUCAAUACUGUCUUGACCACAACUCUAGUGUUAGUUAUGCCCUCAGCUUCAGGUUCAUAUAUAGUGUAUUUUGAUGCUUCAAGAAUUGGUAUUGGGUAUGUGUUGAUGCAAAAGUGUAGAGUUAUUGCUUAUGCUUCUUGUCAGUUGAAGCCCUAUGAGAAGAACUACCCUGUUCAUGUUUUGGAGUUGGCUGCCAUUGUUCAAGCGUUGAAGAUCUUGAGGCAUUAUUUGUAUAGUGUGUCUUGUGAGGUGUUUACCGAUCAUCGUAGCCUCCAACACUUAUUCAAGCAGAAGGAUCUCAAUUCGAGGCAGCAGAGAUGGUUGGAGCUGCUAAAGGACUAUGAUAUCACUAUUUUGUACCAUCCAAAAAAGGCCAAUGUAGUGGUUGAUGCAUUGAGCCGGAAGCAGUGAGUAUGGGCAGUCUUGCAUUUAUUUUUGUUGGGGAGAGACCUCUUAUAGUUGAUGUUCAGGCCUUGGCCAAUCGGUUUGUGAAGUUGGAUAUUUCGAAGCCCGGUUAGGUAUUGGCUUGUGUUAUUUCUCGGUCUUCCUUAUUUGAUCGCAUCAAAGAGCGCCAGUAUGAUGAUCAUCAUUUGCUUGUCCUUAAGGACAGAGUUCAGCACGACGAUGUCAGAGAUGUGACAAUUGGCAAUGAUAGGGUGUUAAGGAUGCAGGUCCAAAUAUGUGUGCCCAAUGUGGAUGGACUUCGAGAGUUAAAUCUAGAGAGGCCCAUAGCUCGCGGUAUUCCAUCCAUCCAGGUGCUGCGAAGAUGUAUCAGGAUAUGAGACAACACUAUUGGUAGAGGAGAAUGAAGAAGGACAUUGUGGGAUUUGUAGCUCGGUGUCUCAAUUGUCAGCAGGUGAAAUAUGAGCAUCAGAGAUCGGGUGGCUUGCUUCAGUAGAUGGAUAUUCCAGAGUGGAAGUGGAAGCGGGUCACUAUGGAUUUUGUAGUUGGACUCCCACGGGCUUUGAAGAAGUUCGAUGCUAUUUGGGUGAUUAUGGAUCGGUUGACCAAGUCUGCGUACUUCAUUCCUGUAUGUACUACCUAUUCUUCAGAGCGAUUGGCGGGGAUCUAUAUCCGAGAGAUUGUUCGUUUGCAUGGUAUCCUAGUUUCCAUCAUUUCAGAUAUAGGUACUCAAUAUACUUUGCAGUUUUGGAAAGCGGUGCAGAGAGAGUUGGGUACUCAGGUUGAGUUGAGCACAACUUUUCACCCUCAGACGGACGGGCAGUCCGAGCGCACUAUUUAGAUAUUGGAGGACAUGUUGCGCGCUUGUGUCAUUGAUUUUAGAGGGUCAUGGGAUCAGUUUCUACCGCUCAUAGAGUUUGCUUAUAACAACAGUUAUCAGUCGAGUAUUUAGAUGGCUCCAUAUGAGGCUUUGUAUGGGAGACUAGGCUUUGUAGAUCUUCGGUCGGUUGGUUUGAGCCAUGUGAGGCUAGGCUUUUGGGUACUAACUGGUGCAGGAUGCUUUAGACAAGGUGAAGGUGAUUCAAGAGCGGCUUCGUACAGCGCAAUCGAGACAAAAGAGUUAUGCUGACAGUAAGGUUCGAGAUGGGUCCUACAUGGUUAGUGAGAAGGUUUUACUGAAUGUUUCACCUAUGAAGGGUGUUAUCAGAUUCGGGAAGAAGGGUAAAUUAAGUCCUCGGUUCAUUGGGCCUUUUGAGGUGCUUCGGAGGAUUGGGGAGGUGGCUUUUGAGCUUGCUUUGCCACCCAGCUUAUCGAGUGUGCAUCCGAUAUUUCAUGUUUCUAUGCUUCAUAAUUAUAUUAGUGAUCUGUCUCAUAUUUUGGACUUUAGCACGAUUCAGUUAGAUGAUGAUUUGACUUAUGAUGUGGAGCCAGUGGCUAUUUUGGAGCGUCAAGUUCGAAAGUUGAGAUCAAAGGAUAUAGCUUUAGUGAACGUGCAGUGGAGAGGUCGUCCCGUAGAGGAGGCUACCUGGGAGACCGAGCAGAAGAUGCGGAGAAGAUAUCCUCACCUAUUUGAGGUUUCAGGUAUGUUUCUUAACCCGUUCGAGGACGAACGUUUGUUUAAGAGGGGGAAGAUGUAACGACCAUGCCGGUCGUUUCAUGAGUUACCGCUCCGUUUCCCCCAUUUCUGCUUCUUAUUGUCUUGUUAAGUUGUAUUAUGUGAUAUCGGGUUGGUUAGUUUGGGUUCAGAGAGAUUUUUGGAAAGGAAUGAGACACUUAGUCUCUUUUGAGUAAGCUUAAGUUGGAAAAGUCAACUUGAUGUUGACUUAUGUGAAAAAGGGCUCGGAUGUGAAUUUUGAUGGUUCAAAUAGUUUCGGGAGGUGAUUUGGGACUUAGGAGCUUGAUCAGAAUAUGUUUUAGAGGUCCGGAGUAGAUUUAGGAUUGAAUUGGCGAAAUUGAAAUUUUGUGGUUUUCUGGUUGAUAGGUGAGAUUUUAAUAUAGGGUUUGGAAUGGAAUUCUGAAAGUUGGAGUAGGUCCGUUGUGUCAUUUGUGAUGUGUGUGCAAAAUUUCAGGUCAUUCGGACGAGGUUUGAUACAUUUUUUGAUCGAAAACGGAAUUUGGAAGUUUUUGGAAUUCUUAGGCUUGAAUCCGAUGGUAUUUUGGUGUUUUAGUGUUGUUUUGUGUGAUUCAAAGGCUCUACUAAGUUUGAAUGAUGCUAUGGGAUGUGUUGGCAUGUUUGGGCUGAGGUCCCGAGGGCCUUAGGUGAGUUUCGGGUGGUUAAACGGAUCAAAAUCAUGUUUGAGAAGUUGCAGAAAAAUCUGUUGUUGGUGUUGCAGACAUUUGGCCUUCGCAUUCGCGAGAGGGCUCUCACGUUCGUGAAGGGAUGUGAUGUGAGGCAGGAAGUUUUUCCUUCGCGUUGCCAAUGUUGGUCCCGCGUUCUCGAAGGGUUAUAUUCUGUAAUCAUCGUGAACGCGAUGAGUAUUCCGUGUUCGUGUAGAGUAGAUGGGAGCAGCUGGGUCCAGGUUCAUUUGUGCUUCGCGUUCGCGAGCUAGAGGUCGUGUUCGCGAUGAGUUGAGGAUUUGAAGCUUCGCUUUCGCGUUUAGGAUGUCGCGUUCGCGUUGAAGGAUUUAAGUGGUCAACGGAUUUUGUGCUUCGCGAACGCGAGGCGUUGACCGCUUUCGCGAAGAAGGAAAAGGGUCACCUGGGUAGAAUGUUUAAAUAGCCUUUGUCCGCGAUUUUGGGUCUAACUUUCACCAUUUUUGAGCGAUUUUUGAGCUUUUUUAGAUGAAUUGAAGAGGGAAUCAAGGGGAAACACUUGGAGAUUUGGAGCAUCCGGAGGUCGAGUUGAUAAGCAACGGCAUCGCGGGCUAGAAUUUGGACUGGAUUGAGGUAAGUAAUGAUUGUAAAUGUUGUCCUGAGGGUAUGAAACCUCGGAUUUCACAUCGUUAUGCUACUUUGAGGUGACGCACAUGCUAUAUGACGAGCGUGGGGCCGUGCACUGUGCGUAUUGCUUAGUCAUUCUCAUAUGACUGUUAAAUCGCAUGUUUGAUUGAAAACUGUUUGAUAUCAUCGUGUUUUGGAAAGUAUUAUCGUGUUUUGGGCUGAAUUGCCAUAUUUGGGCCUUGUGCCAACUGUCUUGGACCCUUAAGGGGAUUUUUACUACUAUUCCUUACUGUUUUGACUUCAUAUUUGUACUCGGUCAUGCUGUAUUCUACUGUUUUCAUAACUCUGCUAUAUUUACUCCGUCUUGAUAUUUUAAAUGAUAUUUUGGGCUGAGCAUCAUGUUUUACUGUGUUGUGAGGAUAUUAUGGGAUUGGGCUGCGCUCCGCAGCAGUGUUGUACUAAUUUAUGAUUGUGAGGCCGAGGGCCAGUUUGAUUAUGCCACGAGAUGGCUUGUUAUAGCGCUUGGGCUAUAGAAGCCCUUCCGGAGUGUGCACACUAUCAGUGAGCGCGGGUACCUAGUGUGAGAUGUGAUAUUGCCCGAGGGGCUAAUACGAGUGAUUGUGAGGUAGCCCGAGAGGCUGGUUCUAUUAGUAUUUUGCCCGAGGGGCGGUUAUGGUACUGGUUUUGCCUGAGAGGCUGAUUUAUGUUUCUAUCCUUUUCUCACUGUUUUCAUCACUCGUUUGAACUACAGAAAGAUGUUUUAAAAAGGUUUUUAUUGAACUGAGAUGUUUUUACGAGUUUUACUGUUUUACUACAUUAUUCUAGAUUUAUAUUGUUCUGUUGUAGCACUUCGCUGUGUUUUACGUAUUUUCUUACUGCUUAACUGCCUUUACUUUUAUUACUUACUGAGUUGGCGUACUCACAUUACUACCUGCACCCUAUGUGCAGAUCCAGGAGUCUCAGGUCACACUUGGAGUGCUGAUUUGCCUUCUAGCAGGCUUGUUCGGAGUUGACUAGGUAGCUGCGCGGUGUUCGCAACCCAGUGCUUCUCCUUCCUAUCUUUAUUUCGCUUUGUACUAGCUUUGUUUAAGACUAUGUUGUCCUUUCAUAUUUUUAGACGAGUUGUAGAUGCUCAUGACUGGUGACACUCCGAUGUCGGGCUAUGUUUUGGUUUCCGUACUGUUUUAUCCUACUUUAUACUAUGGGAUUUUAGCUUGUUAAUGUCUUUAAAUGACUUAUUAUUAUUGUUCAGUUGGUUUGGGGUUUGUGUUGGCUAGCCUAGUUUCACGAUAGACGCAAUCACGACCAGGUCCGUUUUAGGGUCAUAACACAAUCCCUACGGGUGCACGCCCACACACUUAUCACCUAUCAUGUACGUCACCUCAUUUAUCAAAUAGUAUGAAAUUUAGGGGUUUCAUACCCUCAGGUCUAGAUUUACAAUCGUUACUUACCUCAAACCGGAUGAAAUCCUAUUCCGCGAUGUCCUUGCCUCUCGACUCGGCCUCAACUCGCGUCGAUUCUAUCCAAAAUCAGAAUCAUAACAUACAUAUAGCCUCAAAUAGGUAGGGAUAUCUGCUCCGUAUCUCCUGGUCGAUCUCCCAGGUAGCCUCGUCCGCGGGCCGACCUCUCUACUGCACUUUCACUGAAGCUCUAUCCUUUAAUCUCAACUUUCAAACCUGACUCCCCAAAAUAACCAUUGGCUCCACAUCAUAAGUCAAAUCACCAUACUUCCGAACAUGAGAUGGAUCGCCAACAUACUUCUAAAGCAUAGAAACAUGAAACAACGGAUGCACACUCGACAAGCUGGGUGGCACAGCAAGUCCAUAAGCCACCUCCCCAAUCAUCUGAAGCACCUCAAAAGGCCCAAUGAACCGAGGACUCAACUUACCGUUCUUCCCAAAUCUCAUAGCACCUUUCAUGGGUGAAACCUUCAGUAGAACCUUCUCCCCAACCAUGUAAGACACAUCACGAACCUUCCUGUCAGCAUAACUCUUUUAUCUCGAUUGCGCUAUACGAAGUCGUUCCUAAAGUACCUUCACCUUGUCCAAAGCAUCUUGCACCAGGUUUGUACCCAAAAGCCUAGCCUCACCGGGCUCAAACCAACCAACUGGAGAUCUACACCGUCUCCCAUAUAAAGCCUCAUAUGGAGCCAUCUUAAUACUCGACUGAUAACUAUUGUUAUAAGCAAACUCUACGAGCGGUAGAAACUGAUCCUAUGACCCUCCAAAAUCAAUGACAUAAGCGCGCAACAUGUCCUCCAAUAUCUAAAUAGUGCACUCGGACUGCCAUCCAUAUGAGGGUGAAAAGUUGUGCUCAACUCAACCUGAGUACUCAACUUUCUCUGCACCGCUCUCCAAAACUGCGAUGUAAACUGAGUACCUCUAUCUAAAAUGAUGGAAAAUGGGACAUCAUGCAAGCGAAUAAUCUCUCGGAUAUAAAUCCUUGCUAGCCGCUCUGAAGAAUAGGUAGUACACACAGGAAUGAAAUGCGCGGACUUGGUAUGUCGAUCCACAAUCACACAAAUAACAUUGAACUUCUUCAAAGUCUGUGGGAGCCCAACUACGAAAUCCAUGGUGAUCCGUUCCCACUUCCACUCUGGAAUAUCUAACUGCUGAAGCAAGCCACCCGGUCUCUGAUGCUCAUAUUUGACCUGCUGACAAUUGAGACACCGAGCUACAAAUCCCACAAUGUCCUUCUUCAUUCUCCUCCACCAAUAGUGUGGUCUCAAAUCAUGAUACAUCUUCGCAGCACCCGGAUGGAUGGAAUACCGCGAGCUAUGGGCCUCCUCCAGAAUCAACUCCUGAAGCCCAUCCACAUUGGGCACACAUAUCCGGCCAGCCCUACAUCAUUAAUACUCCGUCAUCACUAAUAGUCACAUCUCUAGCAUCGUCGUGCUAAACUAUGUCCUUAAGGACAAGCAAAUGAGAAUUAUCAUACUGGUGCUCUCUGAUGCGAUCAAAUAAGGAAGACCGAGAAACCACACAAGCUAAUACCCGACUAGGCUCCGAAAUAUCCAACCUCACAAACCGAUUGGCCAAGUCCUGAACAUCAACUGCAAUAGGUCUCUCCCCAAUAGGAAUAAAUGCAAGACUACCCAUACUCACUGCCUUCCUACUCAAAGCAUCGGCCACUAUAUUGGCCUUCCCCAGAUGGUACAAGAUGGUGAUAUUAUAGUCCUUUAGAAGCUCCAACCAUCUCCACUACCUCAAAUUGAGAUCCUUAUGUUUAAACAAGUGCUGGAGGCUACAAUGAUCAAUAAAAACCUCACAAGACACGUCAUACAAAUAAUGUCUCAUAAUCUUAAAUGCGUGAACAAUGGCAGCCAACUCUAGAUCAUGAAUAGGGUAGUUCUUCUCAUGGGGCUUCAACUAACUAGAAACAUAUGCAAUCACUCUACCCUCCUACAUCAACACACACCCAAUACCAACUCUCGAAGCAUCACAAUACACGGUAUAUGAACCUGAAGCUGAUUGCAACACUAACACUGGAGCUGUGGUCAAGGUAGUCUUGAGCUUUUGAAAGCUUGCCUAACACUCAUCCGACCACCUGAAUAAAGCAACCUUUUGAGUCAAUUUGGUCAAGGGUGAUGCAAUAUAUGAGAACCCCUGAACGAACCAACGGUAGUAACCCGCCAAACCAAGAAAGUUGUGAAUCUCUGUGGCUGAGGACGGUCUGGGCAAACUCUGAACCGCCUCUAUAUUCUUCGGAUCAACUUGAAUACCCUCACUGGACACCACGUGCCCGAAGAAAGCCAUUGAACUGAGCUAAAACUCACAUUAGGAGAACUUUACAUAAAGUUUCUCCUCCCUCAAUCUCAGUAACACGACUCUCAAAUGCUCCAUGUUCUCCUCCUGACUACGCGAGUAUACCAGAAUAUCAUCAAUGAAUACAAUAACGAACAGGUCGAGAUAAGGCCGAAAUACAUUGUUCAUCAAAUGCAUGAACGCUGCUGGGCAUUGGUCAGCCUAAAAGACAUCAUAAGGAACUCAUAAUGGCUGUAUCAUGUCCUGAAGGAUGUCUUAAUAAUAUUAGGGUCCCUAAUCUUCAACUGGUGANNNNNNNNNNNNNNNNNNNNNNNNNACAUCCUCAUCGUGCCAUCCUUCUUCUUCACAAAUAGAACAGGCGCACCCCCAAGGCGAUACACUAGGCCGAAUAAACCCCUUAUCAAGGAGUUGCUGAAGCUGCUCUUUCAACUCCUUCAACUCCGUUGGUUCCAUACGAUACGGUGGAAUAGCAAUUUGCUGAGUGUCCGACACCAAAUCAAUAACAAAGUCAAUAUCCCUGUCUGAUGGCAUGCCUGGCAGGUCUACAUGAAACAUAUCGGCAAAAGUCCCUCACUACGAGAACAGAAUCAAUACUAGGAGUCUCUGUACUGACAUUCCUCACAAAUGACAAGUGUCACGACCCGAUUUCAUUAUGGGUCGUGAUGGCGCCCAACACCAUUGUCAGACAAGCCAACACGGAAAUAUUAAUAAGUUCUCAUUUUACUUUACCAAAACAAGUACAACAAUUUUCUUAAGUUGAAGUUAAAAUAAGUGAUAAUCAAUAACGUACAAAAAUAAUUAUACAAUCCCCAAAAGAAUAGUCUACUAAUGUGAGUGCCAAGACCUGGUGUCACAAGUUUGUGGGCAACUAGUAGAAUUUACAAAUAUAUAAAUCUAUACUACUGUCUGAAAUAGAAUAGAUAGCCAAAAGUACAAAGAGACUCCAACAUGAUGAUGAUCGGCAUAAGAAGGUAGCAGCUUACCGUGGAAGUCUCGGACUAUGAUCAAGAACGCGCACCGGUCUGGUAGCUAGAUGUACCUGCCUUAGAUCCUGUACAAUUAAGUACAGAAGUGUAGUAUGAGUACAUAAACAAUAUGUACCCAGUAAGUAUCAUGUCUAAUCUCGAAGAGAUAGAGACGAGAGGUCGACUUGAUACUUACUAGUUUCAAAUUAUAUAAGAAAGGUGUUAUGCUAGGCAUGGAUGUCACAAAUAAAUAACAAUUUAUAGCAAGAAGAGAUAAGUCAUGUCCUAGAUGAUAUAACAGUUAGCCAUUUAUAUUUCAAAGCACUUAACAAAAUAAGUCAUGAAUAAGAUUUCACAUAGAUAUCAUGCGCACAUUAUGCCGAGGUCGUACGACCUUGCCUGGUCCAACAGAAUACAAACUGUGCACUGCUAGAGGGUCGAAUGGCACGAACCAUAGAUGCAUCUAUUUCUACCGAGGAAAUCGACCCGAUCCACAAAUAUCAAUUAUCAUCAAGGAAUUUCAUAAAGACGCAUUUAUAUUCAAAUAAAUUCAUACAAGUGUUCAAUAAGUACAUACGUUCACAUAUGUUCACUACCAAUUCUCUAACAUAUCCUAAGUGAUCACAUUAGAAAGAAAGUAUAUAAGCAUUAGCAAAUACGGCAUGGUACGGGUCCUAAACUACUUGGUCAAUUUAUAUAAUAGCAGCUACGCACGGACUCUCGUCACUUAGUGCGUACGUAGCCCCCAAAUUUAGUGGCAAAUUAUUCAAUUAUUUCACCUAUGGUAACAAUUCCCUCGUACAAGGUUAGAAAGGAGACUUACCUCGCCCCAAAGUGUACUUCCAAUACCAAGAACAUGCUCAAACCCUCAAUUUGGAGCCGAACGAUCUAAAACUAAUUAAAAGAGGUAGGAACUAGUCAAUACAAGCUCACAAGAUCUUGUGCUAACUAUUAAAGUAAUUUUUCAACAUUAAACACUAGUUUCCUAAAAUCCGACCCCGGGACCAUGUGCCCGGAUUCCGAAAUUAUUCGAAGAAAGUUGUUCUUUAUAACCUAAGGAUCAUUAAUAUAUGAUUUCUACUUCAUUUCAUAAAACAUUUCGCGGUUAAAUCUAACUUUUAUCAAAACCCUAGGUUUCUGCUCUAACCCCACAAUUUUUCCUUAAUCUUUGCGUGUUAAUCUACCCAAGACUCAAGUAUUAAACUAGAAAUAAGUAGGAUGAACUUACCAAAAGAUGCUAGGUGAAAGUCUUCUCUCAAGAGCUCCAAAAUCUCCCAAUAAAUGAGUGAAAAUGAGCAAAAAUGGUCUAGAGCCCGUAAUAAAUGAAGGUCACUACUUCAGUGACUUCCGCAUCUGCGGUCUUCGGCCGCACGUGCGCCCACCGCAUCUCCAAACAGGUGUCUACUUCUGCAGAAAUUCAGUUGGGCCACUGGCCGCUUUUGCGGGAACAACUGCUUCUGCGGUUCCGCUUCUACGGAAACUUAGCCGCUUCUGCGGCUUCUAGCUUGGCCUGCCUUGGCCGCUUCUGCGAGGGGACGACCGCUUCUACGGUCUCGCAUCUGUGGCUAGCCAACCGCAGGUGCGGUUAUGAUAGUAACCUGGAGUUUCAGCUCCUUCCCAAGUUUUCCAACUUCACUUGAGCCUUGCUCGAUUGACGCUCGGCGCCCCCGGGCCCCGCCCAAACAUACCGACAAGUUUGAAAUCAUAAAAUGGACUCGCUCGAACCCUCGAAAUGCCCGAAACAAAGCUAAAUCUAAGAAUCACCCCAUAAAACCAAUUGGAUCAAACUUAUGAUCUUCAAGUUCUUCAGGCUAGGGACCUUGAAAUUUGAUUCCGGGCAUACGCCCAGGUCCUAUAUUCUCCUACGGACCCUCCGGGACCGUCAAAACACAGGUGUGGGUCUGUUUGCUGAAAAUGUUGACCAAGGUCAAACUUAGCCUUUUAAGAAAAUCUUAGGGAAUCAAGUGUGCCUAUUACAACUAAAACUCUUCCUAAUCCCGAACUAACCAUACCCGCAGGUCGUAAUUUAGUUAAAGCAAGCGCGGAAAGUUUUAUUUAGGGGGACGGGGCUCUAAAAAUAAAAACGACCAGUCGGAUUGUUACAUUCUCCACCUCUUAAUCAAACGUUCGUCCUCGAACGGACAUAGAAAGGUACCUGAGCUAGGAAAAAGAUGGGGGUAUCUACUCCGCAUGUCCUCCUCGGACUCCCAGGUUGCCUCCUCAACUGGUUGGCCCCUCCACUGGACCUUUACCGCAGAAAUUCUCUUUGAUCUCAACUGGCAAUCGUGCCUAUCAAUAAUGGCAACUGGCUCCUCCUCAUAACCCAGACUCCCAUCCAGCUGAAUAGUACUAAAGUCUAACACAUGGGACAAGUCAGCGUGAUACUUCCGCAGUAUCGAUACAUGGAAAACUAGAUGAACUCCCGAUAAGAUGGGGGUAAAGCAAGAUCAUAAGCAACCUCCCCAACUCACCUCAACACCUCAAGUGGGCCAAUAAACCUUGGGCUUAACUUGUCCUUCUUCCCAAAUCUCAUAACUCCCUUCAUCGGCGAGACCUUCAAGAGAAUCUUCUCGCCGACCAUGAAUGAUACAUCACGUGCCUUCUGAUCUACGUAACUCUUCUGUCUUGACUGAGUUAUGCGAAGCCUUUCCUGAAUCAACCUCACCUUAUCCAAGGCAUCUUUCACCAAGUCUGUACCGUACAACUUAGCCUCACCAGGCUCAAACCACCCGAUAAGAGAAUGACCUCGCCGACCAUAUAAAGCCUCAAAUGUAGCUAUCUUUAUGCUGAACUGGUAGCUGUUGUUGUAAGCAAACUCCGCCAAGGGCAAGAACUGAUCUCGCUGUCCUCUAAAGUCAAUCACAGAUGCUCUGAGCAUGUCAUCCAAAAUCUGAACUAUCCACUCUAACUGUCUGUCGGUCUGAGGAUGGAAUGUUGUGCUAAGCUCCACACGGUCCUCAACUCACUCUGAACGGCUCUCCAGAAAUGGGAAGUGAACUGAGGGCCUCUAUCUGAUAUGAUGGAAACAGGCACACCGUGCAACCGGACUGUCUCCCGAAUGUAAAUCUGAGCAUACCUCUCUGAUGUAUAUGUAGUCGCCACUGGAAUAAAGUAGGAUGACUUGGUCAACCUGUCAACAAUGACCCACACUGCAUCAAACUUCCACAAAGUCCGGGGCAACCCAACUACGAAGCCCAUAGCAAUGCGCUCCCACUUCCACUAUGGUACAGGCAUCUACUGAAGUAGGCCACCUGGCCUCUGGUAUUCAUACUUAACAUGCUAGCAAUUCAAACACCUAGCCACAUACUCCACUAUGUCUUUCUUCAUCCUCCGCCACCAAUAAUGCUGUCUGAAGUCACAUUACAUCUCGUAGCGCCCGGAUGAAUGCAAUACCGCAAACUGUGUGCCUCCUAUAGAAUCCUCUCUCUCAGACCAUCAAUAUUAGGAACACAUAGGCGACCCUGGAGUCACAAAACACCAUCCUCGCCAAUAGAAACCUCCUUGGCACUACCCUAUAGCUUUGUCUCCCUAAGAACCGCCAAAUGUGGAUCAUUGAAAUGUCGGGCGUUGAUCCGCCCCAAUAAUGAAGAAUGAGCAACAACACAUGCAAGGACUUGGCUGGGCUCUAAAAUAUCCAACCUCACAAGUCUGUUAGCAAAGAACUGAAUGUCCAAGGCUAGUGGCCUCUCCUCUACUGGAAUGAAUGCCAAGCUACCCAUACUCUCUGCUUUCCUGCUUAAGGCAUCCGCAACCAUAUUUGCCUUGCCCGGAUGAUAAAAAAUGGUUAUGUCAUAAUCUUUCAGUAACUAAAGCCAUCUACGCCACCACAAAUUGAGAUCCCUCUACUUGAACAAAAGCUGCAAGCUACGAUGAUCCGUGUAAACCUCACAUGUCACCCCAUACAGAAAAUGUCUCCAUAUCUUAAGAGCAUGAACAAUCACCGCCAACUCUAGAUCGUGAACAGGAUAAUUCUUCUCAUGAAUCUUCAGCUAGUGUGAAGCAUAUGCAAUAACUCGCCCCUCUUGUAUCAAUACACAACCCAAGCCAGUGUGUGAAGCAUCACAAUAUAUCGUAUACAUCCUUGAACCGGAAGGCAACACAAGAACUGGUGUUGUAGUCAAAGCUAUCUUGAGCUUCUGAAAGCUCACCUCACAAUCAUCAGACCAACGGAAUGGAGCACCCUUAUAGGUCAAUCUAGUUAGAGGUGAUGCAAUAGAUGAAAAUCCCUGUACGAAUCAUUUGUAAUAACCUGCUAACCCCAGGAAACUCCUGAUCUCGCUCACUGAAGUAGGAUGUGGCCAACUCUGAACUGCCUCAAUCUUCUUGGGAUCCACCUUAAUACCCUCUCCUGACACAAUAUGCCCUAAGAAUGCCACUAACUCUAGCUAAAACUCACACUUGGAGAACUUAGCAUAUAGUUUCUACUUUCGCAAGGUCUGAAGCACUACUCUCAAAUGCUGCUUGUGAUCCCCCAGGUUACGGGAGUAUAUCAAGAUGUUUUCAAUGAAGAUGAUGACAAAGGAAUCAAUAUAAGGUCUGAACACCCUGUUCAUCAAGUCCAUAAAUGUUGUUGGGCCAUUACUCAAGCCAAAGGAUAUCACCAGAAACUCAUAAUGGUCAUAUCUAGUCCGAAAUGCAGUCUUCGGAACAUCUGAGUCCCGGAUCUUCAACUGAUGGUACCCUUACCUCAAGUCGAUCUUAAAGAACACCCUAGCACCCUGCAACUGGUCUAACAAAUCAUCAAUGUGAGGCAACGGGUACUUGUUCUUGAUGGUAGCCUUGUUCAACUGGCGUUAAUCAAUGCACAUCUGCAUGGUCCCAUCCUUCUUCUUUAGGAACAACACUGGUGCACCCCAAGGUGACACACUUGGUCUAACAAACCCCUUUGCUAACAACUCCUCAAGCUACUCCUUCAACUCUUUCGGAGCCAUACGGUACGGUGGAAUAAGUAUAGGCUGGGUGCCUGGAGCUAAAUCAAUACAAAAAUCAAUAUCACGAUCCAGUGGCAUGCCAGGAAGGUCAGAAGGACACACAUCGGUGAACUCCCAGACUACGGGAGCUGAAUCAAUCAUUGGAGACUCUGCGGUGGUGUCCCAAACAUAAGCUAUAUAAGCCAAACAACCCUUCUCGACCAUGUGUCGAGCCUUUAAAAAGAGAUAACCCGACUAAAUUUAUUAACUAAGGAACCCUUCCACUUCAACCUUGGCAUCUCUAGCAUUACUAAUGUAACAGUCUUAGCAUGGCAAUAUAGGACAGCGUGAUAUGGAGAUAACCAAUCCAUGCACAGGAUGACCUCAAAAUCGGUCAUUUCAAGCAACAGGAGAUCUGCUCUGGUCUCGAAACCGCAAAAUGUAACCACACAGAACCGGUAGAUCCGAUCCACAACCACAAAAUUGCCCACAGAGUGGACACCUGAAUAGAAGUACCCAAAGGCACACGAUGCAUAUCCAGAAAAUGAGCAAACAGAGAUGACACAUAUGAAUAAGUAGACCCUGGAUCAAAUAGUACUGAAGUAUCCCUGCCACAACGAAAAUAAUACAUGUGAUAACGGCAUCUAAGGCCAAUGCAUCUGGUCUGGCUAGAAUGGCUGGAGUGUCGGCUGGAGUGCCGGUUGGCUGGCCUCCACCUGUCUAAGCAGUAGCUGGCUGACCUCUCCCUGGCUGACCUCCACCUCUAGGACGGCCCCUACCAGUUUGUACCCCGCCCCUAGACGGAUGGGCAACUGAUCCUAAAAUCAUAGGCUAUUGACCCUGCUGUACUAACUUGCCCCGAAGCCUAGGGCAGUAUCUCCUCAUAUGACCAAAGUCUCCGCACUUAAAACAACCCUGCAGUGCGGCGACUUGAUGCCCUGAUGGCUGACCCUGAUGUCCUGUAGACUUACUGGAAGAAUCCUGGAUAGCCGGUGGACGGUAGGAACUCUCUGGCAUAGCACUAAAAUAGGAACCUGAAGAACUCUAGGGACCUGAAUACCCACUGGAGGAACCUUGAAUAGCUGGCGAGCGAUAAGAACUCUCUGUCAUGGAGCUGAAAUAGGGGCGCGCUGGAGAACCAUGAGCAGGUGGUGGUGCUGAAUAUGGGGGUCUGCUGGGCUGACCCCUCCCAAGCUGACUCUACCCCUAGCUGGGACACCUCUGAACUCUCUGGAGAAUCUAUCCCUCUUAUCCUGCUGUAUCUGCUCCCUACCCCUCAGAUGGUAGCCCUCAAUCCUCCGAGCAAUCUCUAAUACUAGCUGAUAAGAAGUCCCCAUCUACACCUCUCGGGCCAUGUUGGCCGGAAAGCCAGAAUGCAACCCUAUAAUGAACCUGUGCACCCACUCAGUGUUAGUAGGAAGUAUCUUCAAUGCAUGGAGGGAUAACUCAAAAAACCUCACCUCGUAACUGGUCACGGACAUCUGACCUUGCUUAAGCUGCUCAAACUGAUACCACAACUCUUCCCUCUCAGUGGGUGGAAUAUACUUGUCCAAGAAUAACUAUGUGAACUGGCUCCAAGGGAUUGGAGGAGAACCUGCUGGCCUGCCAAGAAUAUAGGAAUGCCACCAUCUACGGGCCCUGCCCUCUAACUGAAAAGUAGUGAAGUCAACCGCAUGCGAAUCCAAUAUCCUCAUGUUGUGUAGAUUGUCCAUACACCUAUCAAUGAAAUCAUGGGCAUCCUCAUGAUGCUCACCCCCAAAGACAGGAGGGUGAAGUCUGGUCUAUCUAUCCAACAACUUCUGGGGGUCACCAUCCGCAGCUAGUCAGGGCUCGGGCACCACUGCAGCAACUGGCUGAGCCCCAUCCACAGGUAGUGCACCCGGAGUCUGAUGCACUGCAGCUGCAUGACCAUGAGCCUGAGAAGUAGGGGUCUGUGCUCCCCCUCCUACUUGUGAUGUUGCUGGAUCUGCUGGAAAUAAACUAGCCUGAGUCGUGGUGUCCAUGAAUCGCAGCAUACGGCCCAUGACCUCUUGGAAACCCGGUGCUGUCACAAAGUCUGCCGGGGUAGGCUCAGCUGCGGGCACCUCGCCCUUCUUCUCAAUGAUAGGAUCUCACGUAGGAUCUGUUGGUGUGCUACUGGAACAUCUUUAGGAUGCCCUUGUCCCCUACCUCGGGCUGGUGCCCUCCCCCGGCCCUUGCCUCGGCCUCUAGCAACGGGGGGAGCAGCUCCUCCCGGGUUGGGAUCAUCUGCCAUGCAUGUCCUCACCAUCUGUAAGAGGAUAGAAGAGGGAAAAUUUUGUAUACCAACCACUGCACGAUAGGAAAUGAAUAAAGAGUAGUUUCCUAACACCUUAUAGCAUCUCGAAGAUAUAUACAGACGUCUUUGUACCAAUACACAAGACUCUAUUAGGUUUGCCCAUGACUUGUGAGACCUACGUGAACCUAGUGCUUUGAUACCAUGUUGUCACGACCUGAAUUCACUAUGGGUCAUGAUGGCGCCCAACACCAUUGUCAGGCAAGCCAACGUAGAAAUAAAAAAUAAGUUCUCAUUUUACUUUACCAAAAUAAGUACAGCAAUUUCCUUAAGUUGAAGUUAAAACAAGUGAUAAUCAAUAACGUACCAAAAUAAUUAUACAAUCCCCAAAAGAAUAGUCUACUAAUGUGUGUGCCAAGACCUGAUUUCACAAAUUUGUGGGCAACUAGUAGAAUAUACAAAAGAAUAAAUCUAUCCUACUAUCUGAAAUAGAAUAGACAGUCAAAAGUACAGAGAGACUCCAAUAUGUUGUUGAUCAGCAUACGAAGGUAGCAGCUCACCGUGGAAGUCUCGGACUAUGAUCAAGAACGCGCACCGGUCUGGUAGCCAGAUGUACCUACCUCAGAUCCUAUACAAUUAAGUACAGAAGGAUAGUAUGAGUACAUAAACAAUAUGUACUCAGUAAGUAUCCCGUCUAAUCUCGAAGAGGCAGAGAUGAGAGGUCGACUUGAUACUUACUAGAGUCAAAUAAUAUAAGAAAAGUUUUAUGCUAGGCAUGGAUGUCACAAAUAAAUAACAAUUUAUAUCAAAAAGUGAUAAGUCAUGUCCUAGAUGAUAUCACAGUUAGCCAUUUACAUUUAAAAGCACUUAACAAAGUAAGUCAUGAAUAAGAUUUCACAUAGAUAUCAUGCGCACAUUAUGCCGAGAUCGUACGGCCCGGUCCAAUAGAAAACAAACUAUGCACAUAUCCUAAGUGAUCACAUUAGCAAGAAGGUAUAUAAGCAUUAGCAAAUACGGCAUGGUACGGGUCCUAAACUACCCGGACAAUUAACAUAAUAGUAGCUACGCACGGAAUUUCUUUACCUAGUGCAUACGUAGCCCCCUCAUUUAGUGGCAAAUUAUUCAAUUAUUUCACCUAUGGGGACAAUUCCCUCUUAUAAGGUUAGAAAGGAGACUUACCUCCCCCCAAAGUGUACUUCCAAUACCAAAAAUGUGCUCAAACCCUCAAUUUGGAGCGGAAAGAUCCAAAACUAAUUAAACGAGGUAGGAACUAGUCCAUACAAGCUCACACAUUCGCAUUCAAACUAUUAAAGUAAUUUUCCAACCUUAAACACAAGUUUUAGGUCCAAGAAACUCACCUCAAUGAAAACCCCCAUGAUUCCCUCUUCCAAACCAUCCAAAAAGCUUCAACUCCGGAUAAAAAUGAUGGAAAACAACUCAAAUUUCGCGAAGGAGAACAUAUAUACUUUCUGACCCAGGGAUUUUGCACUUGCGGUCCUUUUUCAACUUCUGCAACACCGCUUAUGUGGUCUAUCCAACCGCAUAUGCGGUUUCCACUUAAAGUCCUGGGACCGCACCUACGCUCAUCUACCCGCACAUGCAGUCUUGCAGGUGCGUUACACCUCCCGCACCUGCAAUUUCUUGCUUUUUCUCAUAUGGCCCCAUUUUCGGCUGAUGUACCGCUUCUGCGAUCUCGCACCUGCGGUCCCCAAUCCGCAGGUGCAGUUAUGACAGGAACUCAGCAACUUCAGUUGUAAACUCUAACUUCCAACUUCCCGAAAACCAUCCGAAAUCAUCCCUAGGACCCCGUGACCUCAACCAAAAGUACGAAUAAGUCAUAUACCACUAUUCAAACUUAUACCAAUAUUUGAAACACUUGAAACAACAUCGAAUAAUCAAAACACCCUCGGAUUCAAGCCUAAAGUUUCCAAAACUUCCGAAUUCUGUAAAUGACCAAAAAGCCUGUCAAAUCAACUCCGAAUGACCUGAAAUUUUGCACAUACAUCCCAAAUGACAAUACGGACCUACUCCAAUUUCCGGAAUUCCAUUCUGACCCUGAUGUCAAAAUUUUCACCACCAAUCGAAAAGCGCCAAAAUUUCAAUUUUGCCAAUUCCAACCUAAAUCUACUACGGGCCUCCGAAUUACAUUCCGAUCACGCUCCUAAGUUCCAAAUCACCUAACGAAGCAAUCCCAACCAUAAAAACCUUAUUCUGAGAUCGUUUGCACACAAGUCAACUUCCGAUUAACUUUUCCAACUAAAUGGCCAACUUAAGAGACUAAGUGUCUCAUAACACUCCAAAACUACUCCAAACCCGAACCAACCAACACGAUACGAUAAAAUGUAGUUGAACAACACAUAAGAAAGCAGAAAUGGAGAAAACAAAGUGGUAACUCAUGAAAUGACCGGCCGGGUCGUUACAAGAUCAUAGUAUAAUUAUAAGGAGAAUGAAAAUCAAUAUCAUAUUUAUUUUGAUUCAUGAAACUUCUUAAAAUGGUUAUUCUCCAAGUUUGCUUACAGGCUGGUGGUCAUGAAUUUGACGAACUCCGAUUGACCUGAAACUUGGUAGGUUCACCGAAAAUGAUCUAGUGAGAAAACCUCACCACUAUGCAGUAAAUCCCGCUGUUUUUUGGCAUUUUGAGGUCGUUUAGAUGUGUUUUCAAGCAAUUUAUUAAAUUGAAUUUGUUAUAAAUAUGAAAUAUUAUUCUUUGUAUAUCGGCUAUAUUUGUGUUAAAUCUGAAACAUGAUGAUUUAACUUGAUAUGAUAUAUAGCAAGAAUGCAAAUCUCAUGGAUUUAUUCCUAAAUACGCCGAAAAUAAUUUAUUCGAAUUUGGUCUAGUUUUUGGCGAUCGUGAAUUUCACAAUAUUCGAAUGACCUGAAAUUCGGUAGGAUCAUCGAAAAUGAUCAGUUAAGAAGAACUCAUAUAGUAUUUUGACGAUUCGGGAUCAUUUAGAUGAGAUUUUGGAGGUUUGGCGGAUUAAAAUGUGAUUUACAUACGAAAAGUCAUUCUUUCUAUCAUUUUAUUUGUCUAAUCUGGAACAUGAUAAUACAUGUUGAUUUGACAUGAAUUGGUAUAUGAUAAGAAUGUAGGUCAUAUUUUAAAUUCUUAAAAAAUGCUUAAAAUGGUAAUUUUCCAAAUUUGGUUGCAACUUUUGGAGAAUGUGAUUUUAACGAUCUCUGAUUGAUCUGAAAUUUGGUAGGUUUAUCAGAAACAGCUCUGUGAACAAUACUCACUACUAUGCAGUGAAAAGCUCUAAUUUUAGCGUUUUAAGACUGUUUAGAUGGGGUAUUGAGUAUUUUUUUAAUUAUGGAACUUAAUCCUCAGAGAAAAGUUUGUGGUCGUGAUAAAGUGGUGAUAGGAAUUAAUACCUAUGGUCUCUAUUUUUUAUUAUAGUGAGAUAAUAAAUUUAUGCGUUGACAUUAGGUCUUCCUCCAUAUCGAAAACAUUUAUUAUGAACUCACUGAAUAUAGUUACUAGUUAUUGAUAACCUGUAUUAAUUCUCCAUCUGAAUUUAAAGGGUUGAAUCAAUUUUGUAACUAAUAUACAAUUGUCACAUCUCCUUUUUCCUACCCCCGGAAGGGUAUAAGGGAGUUUUUUUCUAAUUUAAGUGACAAUCGAAUCAGUAUUAUUUAUUUAAGAAUUCAGAGUCGCCACUUAGGAUAAUUUAUGGUGUCCUAAGUCACCGGUUCAAAUCUCGGAUCGAGGAAAGAUUGCCUCUGUUUUAUAGUCCGCAAACACAGAAAUUCAGGUAAGAAAUUCUGUUAAUCUGGGAGAAGGUGUUACGCAUUCCCCAGUUCUGUGGUUCUAGCACGAUCGAUCAACUAUAAUUAUUGACCUAUUUAUCUGAUUUUAAACACUUUUAAACCUAUGUGCCUUUUAAAUUUUUAACCGCUUUUAUUUAUUUAAGGAAUUAUUUCAAGGUUAUUUAAAACACAUCGUAAGCCACGCUACAUGAAAUGCACCCGUGAGUCAUGACACGUUCUAUUUAACCUUGUUGGAAAUUAGAAUUGGGUCACAUGCAAAGUACACCCGGGUUUUCGUAAUUACAAAUCACAACUACUUCACGGGAAUCAUACCCGUAUCCAUAAUAAUUAUUAAUUGCGCCUAAAGCAAGCUACGAUGUUUAUGAAUAUUAACGUCUUAAACGUACUCUUAGCUAAGCCCAAAAUUACAUGUUUAAAACCUAUUGCAUUAUCAUUAUAUUGAAAGGUUGCAGUAUUACAAUCAGCUGAGCUGCCAAAAUUCAAGAUGUCUAUAUGAGAAUAGCUUGCUCCCUUUUGACUAUAUAUACCUAAAAAUUCUAGAAUUAGCAAUAAUGGUCCAGAAAAUUUAGAGUAACCUACAUUUUUGACAACUUCAGUUUUGGACUUGCAUUUGCAGUAUCCAGCAUUUUUAUGGACUAAUUAGUGAAGGACGACAACAAAGGAAAUCAACUUUGACACAACGUUUAGUUUACGAUGUAAAAUCUUCAUAACUAAUACACAUAUUGCUAAUAGACACUAACAACAACAAACACAACAAUACAAAAAUCUUAAGCAAUGACGAACAUAUUUUUAGCAACAAUUUUAAUAAGUUAUACAACGUUUAGCAGCUACAAACUGCCACGAGUCACUCAAAGAAUCAAACAAUUGAAUAUCAACUCACAAAUACACCAUAACCAGUUAUAUCACCAUAUAAACCCAUGUAAAACAAGAUUAGUUAUGACCUAAUAAUUGCAAGAAACAAGAGAUGAGAAAUGAACCUCCAAAUGUGAAUCUGAGCUUAACUGGUUUGCAGCUCCAGAAUCGGAUAGGGACUUGACCAGGACCAACGGAACUUCGACUUUGGAGCUUGCCGGAAUUUGAUGAAACACAGGCAGACCUCGACUCUUCAGCCUCGAAACUCGUCGGAAAGUAAAAAAAAUGCAUGACUGUGUGUGCGCGUGCUCCGACAGAUAUGGUGAAGAGAAGACGAAGCAGCGAAAUACAGGAGGUCAUAAAAUUGGCUAUUUGUGCGAAUCAACUAUUGUAGAAGUAGAUUAGUCAGCAAGUCAGCCGCAGAGAUAAAAUCUAGCAAAAAUACCGAAAAUGAGAUCAUUUAAGCAAGACAGCAAGUUCCUAUCUCCAUUUUAGGGAAAUGAUUUGAAACCAAAGGGUCAAGUGCAAGCAGAAACAUCACGUAUUCCAUACAUUCCUAUGGCAGAUCCUUUUGUUUUUUGGUUUUUAGAUCUAAGAUUUUUUUUGUCUUGUGUUGAUUUGCUCUAGAGAUUAGGGAACACGGCUGAUAGUCUUCGUCUAGGGUAGGUUAUAAUUUGGUUUUUAUUUGAUAGGUGAAAGGAUUGUGACCAUUGGAUUAAAAUGGAUCGAUGAUUGAGAUUAAAAUGGUGUAUUUGGCCGGGUCAGCUGGGUUGAUGGGUUAUUUGGGCUAAGGAGAAUUGGUUUGGUCCAAAUUGGGUCCUAAAAUUGGGCUCUAAGACUCUUAAAAUUGUGGUCCAACACCUUAGCUAACUUCUUUUAAUAAAGAUAAAAAUACUACACAACGCAAAAACUAAAUCUAAUUAAUUAAAUCAAACUAUAUUAUAACAUGAAUCUAUUUUAUAUUUUUUUUUGUAUUUUCAAGAUUAUAUAAAGAUAAAAAAUAAGGUACUAUUUUUGUAUUUUUUUUAUUUAAUUUGAUAAAGAAACGUAAACUAAAAUAUUUUUUGUGACAAAAUAAAAUAAAAGGGUCAAAAUUAGUUGAAAUAGCGAUAUUAGGCCUAAACGAAACAUUUACAUGCUAAAAUAUAAAAAAAUUUGGGGAGAUUCAAAAAUCACAUGUUUAAAGCUGCCCCUCUUUGACUGCAAAUACGAAGUAUUUUCAGACAAAGAACGACUAGAUAGAUUUUUUUGACCCGACCCUUAUUUAAAGAGACCAAAAGCUAAAAGAAAAGAGAAUGUGACUGAGCCCUGGUAUCUGAGCUGCCUACAUAUUCUUGGCUAUAAAGGAAUCAGAUCACGUGUAGUUCAGAAGUGAGUGAGAUGAUAGAGUAUACCGAGUUGGAGAGCCGAUCGAGGUGCCAUUCCGUCGAGGUUCCAGUCCGCAGCCCUGUUAAUACAUCAAAAUCAAAAAAUGAAAAAGACUAACUAAGUCUGUCAACUAUGAGUUACAAGAUUCCUAUCUAUAAGUCUUCUGAAGCUUGAUCUUGAGUCUUGAAUGGUUCUUCACGCAGACUUUAGAUUUGAACAUUGACGCUUGCUAGCUGCAGGUACUAGUUCAUUCUUCUUCGGAUCGAGACUGGACAUGCAAUGCUCGUGAUUUCAACCAUGUCCUGAGUAGUUCAUAUCUUUCAUCAACUUCUGCAUUUGGAUUCACUUCUUGCCUUUCUUUCUUUUUUUAUUCUGGAUUGUGACUAACUUCCAUUGAUCAUCUCGGACUGUUGACUCGCAUUCUUGAUGCGAUUUUCUUUUGUUGCUGACUUGAAUUGCAUUCUGAAAUGAAUUCCCUUAUUCUCCAGGUAGCGCCUAAUUGCCAACAUUUAAACUGUAUUCCCUUGUUCUCCAAGCAGUCACCUAAUUACCAAAACUUGAAUUGUCUUCCCUUUGUUACCUUAAAUUGUUUUCCCUUGAAACUUGUGUUAUCUUACUUUGAAAUUGAUGCUUUCCCUUUAUUCUCCAGGUGGGUGCCUGAUUACCAACAUUUGUAUUGUUUUUCCUUGAGACUUGAACUGUUUCCCUUUGUUCUCCAGGUGGGCUUCUGAUUACCAACACUUGAAUUGCUUUCCCUUUGUUCUCCAGGUGGGCUCCUGAUUACCAAUACUUGAAUUAUUUUCCCUUUGUUCUCCAGGUGGGCUCCUGAUUACCGACACUUGAAUUGCAUUUCCUUUGUUCUCUAUGUGGGCUCCAAAUUCCCAACACUUGAAUUGUUUUCCCUUUGGUCUCCAGGUGGGCUCCUGAUUUCUAAUACUUGAACUGCUUCCCUUUGCUCUCCAGGAAGGCUCCUGAUUACCAAUACUUGAAUUGCUUUCCCUUUUGUUCUCCAGGUGGGCUCCUGAUUUCCAACACUUGAACUGAUUUUCCUUUGUUCUCCAAGUGGGCUCCUGAUUUUUAACACUUGAACUGCUUUCCCUUUGUUCUCCAGGUGGGCUCCUAAUUUCCAAUAAACACACAAAACAAAAGAAUUUUUUCUGCCCAAGUUUGAUAUUGGGAACAUCUGUGAGUGUUAAUCGAAUCUUGUUACUAAAAGAGCUAUAAAAUCUCAAAAACUAAAUCCCAUUAUCCAGGAGGGUCCUGAAAAUUAAAAAUUAAAUCUCAUCUUAAGGGUGACAACUUCAAAGCUAAAUUCUAUUUCCUAAAGGUAAAACUUACGCUAAAUCUUAUUAUCUAUGAAGGUCUUAAAACGUAAAACUAGAUCCCAUUAUCCAGGAGGGUCCUGAGAACUUCAAAUUAAUCCCAUUAUCGAGGAGGGUCUUGAAAAAAAAAUUGAAAUUAAAUCCCAUUAUCUAGGAGGGUCCUGAAAAGCCGAGAAUGAACUUACCUGAGCCAUGCUUUCUUCUUGGAGGAUCUUUGCAGAACGAAUAAAAUUCCAUGCCCCUGAACCAUGUUUUUCCUUAUGGAGGGUUCCUGUAGAUCGAACAAAUUUUCUCUCUUCUUCUCAAACCGCCUUUGUGCCGACAAAAUUUGGGCACGACAUCUGAAAAAUUAAAGCUUUCAAGCUUUGAUUUGGACAUAGUCUUCAUCCAUAUUUCAAACAAAGAAAACUUGUGAGUUUAAACAUGGUGGUUGGUUUGUGGCCUUGACUUUGAGGGCGAUUGCUCCUUCACUUCCCAUGAUAACUUCGAUUUCACCUCGAAAGAGGGCCUAUUUAUUGACUGACCACUUUCUCUAUCACUCUUAGCACGGAAAAUAACUCUGAUCCAUUCAAACCCAAUACCAUUCAUCUGUUGCAUUGUGCUCACGCAUUGACAUAUACUGAACCUUUGUGUUUCACAUGAACCCCAAAGCACGUUGAUUGUUACCCACUCAGUGUGCAUGUCGUUCUUUCCUGACUUAACCCACUGGCCUUGGCCUUAAGGUCUAUUGCUCCUUCACUUGCCAUGAUAACUUUGAUUUCCACUUGGAAGACCUUGCUUGUCAUUGGUUAACCACUUUCUCUGUCAACCUUAUCACAAAAAAUACCUUUGAUCCGUUCACCCAACACCUUCUAUCUGUUGCAUUGCUCAUGAACUGACAUAUACCGAAUCUUUGUAUUUCACAUAAAUUCCAAAGCACAUUGAUUGUUACCAACUCAGUGCGUACGUUGUUCUUUCCUUACUUAUGACACUUUGAUGUGCUAGCCAGAUCCCGCUUUGUGCAAUUGGAAAGCUGGUGGCAAAUUUUGAGGUCAUUUCUCACUUGUUUUGACCAAACAGACUCAAGAAGAGGAAGUAAACAAGACAAAAGGAACAGAGUAAAGGACAAUGGAAAGAGAUGAUACCUAACAAGAAAAUUACAAAGUAGAAACCUAUCAGAUGUGGACAAUAACUCUAAUGACCAUGACAUGCACCUUUCGAUUAAGUGGCCUAAUCUGUCAAGCAAGUCUAAUGUUCAACUCUUGUCGUACCUCUGAGUCGUGAAACUGGGCUUCAAUGCUCUGAUUAUCCAAUCUGAUUCACAAUCCUUAUUCGACUUGUAGUGCCCGAAUGGUUUUCACCAUCAAGCCUCUCUCAUUUUGUUCUUUCUCUCAACUCACCAUCGCUUUAUGGUGCCUGUGAAGGUUUUCACCAAUAAGACUCUCUCAUUUUGUUCUAUUCUUCUUAUCUCCUCUGAUUCUGCAGAUGACAAGGCAUUAACCAUGGUAAAAACAUCAUAUGCUCCUGGCAUGGCCAACUCAGCACUCUCAAAGAUUAUCUGGGACGUCUUUUUGGAUUAUAAUGUGGCUUUUGAACAGGGUUAGUAAGAAAGGAUAUCAUUAAGGCUCAAAAUAACUAUGACAACGAGAUCAAUUUAUUUACAACUUUCGGAAUCCAUUCUAAAACUUUGCCCCAAUUUCUAAAACAAGGGAAUUUGAUUCUUUUUUUCUUUUGAUGGAGUUACUAAGAAAGACUGCCCCACUUUCGACUUCGUGGGAUUAUGAAAUAUUUUAUUUGGUAUGACUGAACCGUAAGGCUUCCUACGUAUCUUGUGGUGAUAAGAAUCAGGUCAAACGUAGUUCACAAAGAUACGUUUUGUUGUUGCUAUUUUUCUUUUCUUUUUCUCUUUUUUUUCUUUUCUUUCUUUUUUCCUUCUUCUUUUUUUCUUUUUUCGCAUGACCCUAACUUGAUUCCAAAAGAGGAGAGGUCAAAGAAAUUAGUACAGGCUCAAAAGGGUAUCAAAUGGUAUAAGUGUUUGGGUAGCUAAAAGAGGGCCUCUCAAUCCCUGAAAAUGCCAAGUACAACACAUGCAACUUGAAAUGAAAAUUGAAGAUCAUGCACAAUAUUUCUCUUGGGCUUCAGCAUUGAUAUUACUAGUAUGCCUUCCACUUUUCUUUAGCACCUUGUCAAAUACAGAACCCUCGUUGGGUGAUUCCUUUUUCAUAAUGGAUAUCCUCUGUCAAUUCGGAGAAAACUUCCUUGACUUUAUCUUGUUACUUUAGGUGCACUUGAACUCAAAGUUGCUUGCUUCAAAUCGUCCAGGAUGCACUCUCCUUUAACAAAUUCUUGUCACCCUAUUAACUUCCCAAAUUAUCCGCCUCAGUUUCACAUAGUUCGGGGUUCAAAUGAUCUCAAAAUGCCUUUACUUAUUUCCCUCAAAUAUUCCUAUCAUCUUCAAAAAUGUUUUAUUGCUUCAUGAUUAAACUAACUUUUAAGACCAGGCCUAGGAUUAUGUGUGCAUGUCAUGUUACUAGAGUCGGCAGGAAAAGAACUAUAGAAGGAGAAAAGAACUAUAACAGAAAACAGAAAAUUGCAUUUAGAAAGACGGUGCAAGAGUUUGAACAACAAAACAAGAAAAAUAAACUAGGUUACAACCCUGGAACAAACCUAGAUAACACCAAACGAGAAGUCACACGAAGUGCACACUACCCAGAUGAUUUAGAAGACUCAAAGAGAGGAGGGUUUUGUAUCAAUCUAUAUAGAGUCCAAACAAUAUAAAAGCGGUAACAAGUAACAUUUAGCACAUUAAACCCAAACACGUGAAUAAAACCAGAUAAUAAAUAAAGCUAACUAUAACAGAUAUUCUAAGCUCGAAUUCUCGAACCCUAAACUAGAGAUUCUGGGUUCUUAUCCCUAGCAGAGUAACCAGAGUUGUCACACCUCCUUUUUCCUAUCCCGGAAGGGUAUAAGGGAGUUUUUUCCAAUUUAAGUGACAAUCGAAUCGAGAUUAUUUAUUUAAGAAUUCAGAGUCGCCACUUGGGAUAAUUUAUGGUGUCCCAAGUCACCAGUUCAAAUCCCGAAUCGAGGAAAAAUUAACUCUGUUUUAUAGUCCGUGAACACAGAAAUCCAGGUAAGGAAUUUUGUUAACCCGGGAGAAGGUGUUAGGCAUUCCUUAGUUCCGAGGUUCUAGCACGGUCAUUCAACUAUUAUUAUUGGCCAAUUUAUCUCAUUUAAAACACUUUUAAACCUAUGUGCCUUUUAACUUUUUAACCGCUUUUAUUUAUUUAAGGAAUUAUUUCAAGGUUAUUUAAAACACAUCGUAAGACACGCUACAUGAAAUGCACCCACGAGUCACGACAUGUUCUAUUUAACCUUGUGGAAAAUUAGAAUCGGGUCACAUGAAAUGUACAACCGGGUUUUAGUAAUUACAAAUCACAACUACGUUACGAGAACCAUACCCGUAGCCAUGAUAAUUAUUAAUCGAGCCUAAAGCAAGCUACGAUGUUUAUGAAUAUUAACGGCUUAAGCGUACUCUUAGUUAAGCCCAAAAUUACACGUUUAAAACCCAUUGCAUUAUCAUUAUAAUGAAAGGUCGCGGUAUUACAAUCAGCUGAGCUGCCAAAAUUCAAGGAGUCUAUAUGAGAAUAGCUUGAUCCCUUUUGACUAUAUAUACCUAAAAAUUAUAGAAUUAGCAAUAAUGGUCCAGAAAAUUUAGAGUAACCAACAUUUUUGACAACUUCAGUUUUGGUCUUGCAUUUGCAGUAUCCAGCAUUUUUAUGGACUAAUUCGUGAAGGACGACAACAAAGGAAAUCAACUUUGACACAACGUUUAGUUUACGAUGUAAAAUCUUUAUAACUAAUACACAUAUUGCUAAUAGACACUAACAACAACAAAUACAACAAUACAAAACUCUUAAGCAAUGUCGAACAUAUUUUUAGCAACAAUUUUAAUAAGUUAUGCAUAGUUUAGCAGCUACAAACUGCCACGAGUCACUCAAAGAAUUAAACAAUUGAAUAUCAACUCACAAAUACACCAUAACCAGUUAUAUCACCAUAUAAACCCAUGUAAAACAAGAUUAGUUAUGACCCAAUAAUUGCAAGAAACAAGAGAUGAGAAAUGAACCUCCAAAUGUGAAUCUGAGCUUAACUAAUUUGCAGCUCCGGAAUCGAAUAGGGACAUGACCAGGACCAACGGAACUUCGACUUUGGAGCUUGCCGGAAUUCGAUGAAACACAGGUAGACCUCGACUCUUCAGCCUCGAAACUCGCCGGAAAGUAAAAAAAAUUGUGACUGUGUGUGUGCGUGUUCCGAUAGAUAUGGUGAAGAGAAGAUGAAGCAGCGAAAUACAGGAGGUCAUAAAAUCGGCUAUUUGUGCGAAUCAACUAUUGUAGAAGCAGAUUAGUCAGCAAGUCAGCCGCAGAGACAAAAUCUAGUAAAAAUACCGAAAAUGAAAUCGUUUAAGCAAGACAGCAAAUCCUUAUCUCCAUUUUAGGGAAAUAAUUUGAAAUCAAAGGGUCAAGUGCAAGCAGAAACACCACGUAUUCCAUACAUUCCUAUGGCAGAUCCUUUUAUUUUUUGGUUUUUAUAUCUAGGAUUUUUUUUGUCUUGUGUUGAUUUGCUCUAGAGAUUAGGGAACACGACCGAUAGUCUUCGUCUAGGGUAGGUUAUAAUUUGGUUUUUAUUUGAUAGGUGAAAGGAUUGUGACCAUUGGAUCAAAAUGGAUCGAGGGUUGAGAUUAAAAUGGUGUAUUUGGGCGGGUCAGUUGGGUUGAUGGGCUAUUUGGGCUAAGGAGAAUUGGGUUGGUCCAAAUUCGAUCCUAAAAUUGGGCUCCAAGACUCUUAAAAUUAUGGUCCAACACCUUAGCUAACUUCUUUUAAUAAAGAUAAAAAUACUACACAACGCAAAAACUAAAUCUAAUUAAUUAAAUCAAACUAUAUUA